AAGACUAUAGACCUGCGGAGUACCUGCGGAAGGAUCAUUAUCGUAUUGUAACAAUUGGGGGGGCCACCGUGGGCUGUCGCUGACCCUUUGAAAGGGGGGGUCGUGCACGCCCCCAUAGUGUCAUCCUCAUACAAUCCAACUCACCUCUGUGCAUCACCGCGUGGGUUCCUUUCUGGGUCGAGUCAGACUGGCUCAGAAAAAAGGGGCUUGCGUUUCCCAUACAAAUACCCUUAUAAAUCC
rnacentral:misc_RNA from 1 species